rnacentral:rRNA from 1 species
AUACGUAGGGAGCAAGCGUUGUCCGGAUUUACUGGGUGUAAAGGGUGCGUAGGCGGCACUGCAAGUCAGGCGUGAAAGGCGGAGGCUUAACCUCCGAGUUGCGUUUGAAACUGUGGUACUUGAGUGAAGUAGAGGUAGGCGGAAUUCCCGGUGUAGCGGUGAAAUGCGUAGAGAUCGGGAGGAACACCAGUGGCGAAGGCGGCCUACUGGGCUUUAACUGACGCUGAGGCACGAAAGCAUGGGUAGCAAACAGGAUUAGAUACCCUGGUAGUCCAUGCUGUAAACGAUGAUUACUAGGUGUGGGGGGUCUGACCCCUUCCGUGCCGGAGUUAACACAAUAAGUAAUCCACCUGGGGAGUACGACCGCAAGGUUGAA